AAAAGUGCUAUUUUGUAGACCUAAUUAUAAUGGUUUUAAGCACAUUUGAGUAGUAAUCAUAUUCAUUUAACCCAAUUAAUUCAUUAAGGUCCUUAGUAAUUGAUUUUAACCAUUUUGUGGCAAGUUUACAUGUUUUUAUCAGCUUAUGAAUCAAUUCAAGCAUGCCAAAUGAUGGAGGAGCUACUUGGACAAGUUAUGGCAAAGCUUUUGGAAGCUCAAAUUAAUGAAGAACCAAGCU
rnacentral:lncRNA from 1 species